rnacentral:rRNA from 1 species
UACGUAGGGGGCAAGCGUUGUCCGGAUUUAUUGGGCGUAAAGAGCGUGUAGGCGGCUAGGUAGGUCCGUUGUGAAAACUCGAGGCUCAACCUCGAGCUGUCGAUGGAAACCAUCUGGCUAGAGUCCGGAAGAGGAAAGUGGAAUUCCUGGUGUAGCGGUGAAAUGCGCAGAUAUCAGGAAGAACACCAAUGGCGAAAGCAGCUUUCUGGGACGGUACUGACGCUGAGACGCGAAAGCGUGGGGAGCAAACAGG